rnacentral:rRNA from 1 species
CCUACGGGAGGCAGCAGUGGGGAAUUUUGCGCAAUGGGGGCAACCCUGACGCAGCAACGCCGCGUGAGUGAUGAAGGCCUUCGGGUCGUAAAGCUCUGUCAGAGGGGAAGAAAUGCAGGUGGUGAACAACCAUUCUGUUUGACGGUACCCUCAAAGGAAGCACCGGCUAACUCCGUGCCAGCAGCCGCGGUAAUACGGAGGGUGCGAGCGUUGUUCGGAAUUAUUGGGCGUAAAGCGCGUGUAGGCGGUUUGUGAAGUCUGAGGUGAAAGCCCCGGGCUCAACCGGGGAAGGGCAUUGGAGACUGGCAGACGUGAGUACGGGAGAGGAAAGUGAAAUUCCCAGUGUAGGAGUGAAAUCCGUAGAUAUUGGGAGGAACACCGGUGGCGAAGGCGGCUCCCUGGACCGAUACUGACGCUGAGACGCAAAAGCGUGGGGAGCAAACAGGAUUAGAUCCCCCU